GACGAACCGUGCGAACGUUGUUCGGAUUCACUGGGCUUAAAGGGCGCGUAGGCGGACAAGCAAGUCAGGCGUGAAAGCCCCGGGCUUAACCUGGGAAUUGCGCUUGAUACUGAUGCGCUAGAGAGCGGGAGAGGAUGGCGGAAUUCCCAGUGUAGAGGUGAAAUUCGUAGAUAUUGGGAAGAACACCGGUGGCGAAGGCGGCCAUCUGGACCGUAUCUGACGCUGAGGCGCGAAAGCGUGGGGAGCAAACAGG
rnacentral:rRNA from 1 species